rnacentral:pre_miRNA from 13 species
UUAGUGAAAUUUCACCAAGUUUAGUGGUACAAUACCUCAGUCUUAUCAGGUGUUCUUUCAAUUCACCUGGCAAUACUGAGGUUGUGUCUCACUGAACACAGACUUCGUGGCUUCUGU